rnacentral:rRNA from 1 species
AGAACGAACGCUGGCGGCGUGGAUAAGACAUGCAAGUCGAGCGCUAAUUAAAGGGUAGCAAUACUCUUUGAUUGGAGCGGCGCAAGGGUGCGUAACACGUGGGUAAUUUGCCAUGAAGUUGGGGAUAACUCGCUGAAAGGCGAGCUAAUACCGAAUGUGGCCCGAUGGAGGCAUCUCUGUUUGGCUAAAGCUGGGGACCGUAAGGCCUGGCGCUUUUUGAUAAACCCGCGGCCUAUCAGCUAGUUGGUGAGGUAACGGCCCACCAAGGCUAAGACGGGUAGCUGGUCUGAGAGGACGACCAGCCACACUGGAACUGAGACACGGUCCAGACACCUACGGGUGGCAGCAGUCGAGAAUUUUUCAC